UACCAGCACCCCGAGUGGUCGGGACGUUUAUUGGGCCUAAAGCAUCCGUAGCCGGUUCUACAAGUCUUCCGUUAAAUCCAGCUGCUUAACAGAUGGGCUGCGGAAGAUACUAUGGGGCUAGGAGGCGGGAGAGGCAAGCGGUACUCGAUGGGUAGGGGUAAAAUCCGUUGAUCCAUUGAAGACCACCAGUGGCGAAGGCGGCUUGCCAGAACGCGCUCGACGGUGAGGGAUGAAAGCUGGGGGAGCAAACCGG
rnacentral:rRNA from 1 species